rnacentral:lncRNA from 1 species
AUGGAAUCACCCUGCAGGUCGAAGCCCUGGGGCUCCAGGCCUUCCCACAACCAUCUGGCAGGCCCAGAGCAUCCAAGUCUGCUGUGGAGGGGCUGGGCAGGAGGAGGGAGGAACAGAGCCACCGUCCCUGCUGUGGUCGCCAGGUGUCAGGAGCAGUUUCCCAGCUCAUCAAGGACUGGCUCUAAAGCAGAGGUCGUCCCAGGAACAGCUACCCUAAUGAGAAGUCGGGGAUGGCUUUGGUCCUGGGUGAAAGCGUGCUGCUGGAUUUCAAGGCCUGAGCAUGAUUUUAAACCACACAGCCGAGUUUUUCAAACAGACUGCUCCCUGCCCUGCCCUUUAAGGAGGAUGCAUUUCGGUGUCUGGAGACAUUUUUGAUUGCCACGAUUCAGAGGGUGCUCGAAGAGGGGUUGCUGAAUUCUAGCAAGGAGAGACAGGGAUGUUGGUGAGCAUUCUGAAAUGCACAGCAGGCCUGAACAUAGAGAACUUCCUGUCCCCUAACAUCUACAGCCAGCUCCUGAUGCAGAACUCCAUUUCGUCCAUUAGUUCUUUGAUUUGCACAUUCACUUAGUGCUUGACUACAAAGUGCCACUCUGUAUCAGGAAUUUCGCUGUGACGGAGACGGCUGGGCCUGCUCCAUGUAAGCAGCGUUCCAGCAGGACCCUCAGGUGACAAGGACGCACACGCCUGUGAGUGAGAAGAUUGAGAAGGUGAUACACACCACAACAAGGGCAGAAGAGUGAAUGCCAGAUGGGGCUGGGACGUGCCAGGGAGGAGGGCAUGGAAGGUACUCAGAGUCAGGGUUUGCUCUGAGAUCUCUUCAUUUUCCAUCUGAUUAACUUGAGAGCUGUCCAGGAGGUCAGUAAAGCCCAGUCUGUGUGUGAUUGGGAGCGUUCUGGGGCCAUGGUCUCGGGAACUGUCUGAGCUCUACCCCACCCCGCUAGCUCCACCCCCGCCCU